AACGCAUAUUGCACUCUCUUUCGGGAGAGUAUGCCUGUUUGAGAAUCUAUAAAUUCAUUUGAUUUAGCACUCUUCUAGAGUGAUAGGUCGAGUUUUGGGAUUGCUCUUCAUUUCAAUGUAGAGAAUCUUUAAAAGAAUAGCCGACCUACGGAAGGUAAUAGUGAUUGAAUAGGUUUAAACCUUGACUUGCUAUGAACGACUGAAGGCAGGCAGAAAUAUAUUGAAAACAAGGUCUCAAAUCAGGUAGGAAUACCCGCUGAACUUAA
rnacentral:misc_RNA from 1 species